rnacentral:rRNA from 1 species
GCUGGGAACGUCUGGGGAGACUGCCGGUGAUAAACCGGGAGGAAGGCGGGGAUGACGUCAAGUCCUCAUGGCCCUUACAUCCCGGGCUACACACGUGCUACAAUGGCAGGUACAGAGGGCUGCGAAGCCGCGAGGUGGAGCGAAUCCCAGAAAACCUGUCUCAGUCCGGAUUGAAGUCUGCAACUCGACUUCAUGAAGGCGGAAUCGCUAGUAACCGCGAAUCAGCAGGUCGCGGUGAAUACGUUCCCGGGCCUU